rnacentral:tRNA from 1 species
GGAGAGGUGGCCGAGUGGUCGAAGGCGCGCCCCUGCUAAGGGCGUAGAGGUGGAAGCUUCUCGUGGGUUCGAAUCCCAUCCUCUCCGCCA